rnacentral:rRNA from 1 species
CCUACGGGAGGCAGCAGUGAGGAAUAUUGGUCAAUGGGCGCGAGUCUGAACCAGCCAAGUAGCGUGAAGGAUGACUGCCCUACGGGUUGUAAACUUCUUUUAUACAGGAAUAAAGUGAGGCACGUGUGCCUUUUUGUAUGUACCUUAUGAAUAAGGACCGGCUAAUUCCGUGCCAGCAGCCGCGGUAAUACGGAGGAUCCGGGCGUUAUCCGGAUUUAUUGGGUUUAAAGGGAGCGUAGAUGGGUUGUUAAGUCAGUUGUGAAAGUUUGCGGCUCAACCGUAAAAUUGCAAUUGGUACUGGCAGUCUUGAGUACAGUUGAGGUAGGCGGAAUUCGUGGUGUAGCGGUGAAAUGCUUAGAUAUCACGAAGAACUCCGAUUGCGAAGGCAGCUUACUAAACUGCCACUGACAUUGAUGCUCGAAAGUGUGGGUAUCGAACAGGAUUAGAUACCCCAGUAGUC